rnacentral:lncRNA from 1 species
CGAAUCGGAGCUACAGCUCCUAGUCUACACCACAGCCACGCUGGAUCUGAGCUGUGUCUGUGACCUACACCACAGCUCAUGGCAGCACUGGAUCCUUAACCCACUGAUCAAGGCCAGGGAUCAAACCCGUGUCCUCAUGGGUACUAGUUGGGUUUGUUACCGCUGAGCCACAAGGAAACGCCUGUCUUGUUGCUUUCAAGUGAUUAAAAGAAGAUGCAACGGUUAAGAAAUUCUUGUUAUACUUGCAGUUGUGAUUAGGUAAGCACACUUUGUAAUUAUCAUAUUAAUUGCCGAUAUUCAAAUGAGAGCUUGAAGGUUUUUUUUUUUUUUUUUUUUAAAGAUGGACAUUCUCAUAGUCUUUAUUUUAUUAGUGUUUUGGGAGCUAGAUAUGGUGCAACAGGAAAUAGCACAGCCCUUGUUUAAAUGGUCACAAACAUCAAAUGAGCUGGAUACAGUGAUGGAAUUUUCACUCUCUGCUCAAAUGGCAGGCCCGAAGCUGAUUUUGCCACCCAAGUGGCUGAAGAGGGAAGGACAUGAUCAUGUUUGUCAACUGAAGCCGCGGGGACAGGGCUUCACCACGGCUCCAUGGAGCUGCCUGCUCCAGUGGAAUUUCAUGUUUUGUCUUUCUCCCCUUGGAAAGCGCUGGAAGAACAGCCCGUAGUCCACGUGAGAUCCUGCAGGACCACAUAGCAUUGGUUAAUCAGAGUCUUUCCAGAGCAUUUGAAAGUGUGAUGCAAAACUCAGGUCAGGAAAUGCUGUCAACUGGAAUUAGGAGGCUGCAUUAUUUGACUAAGACAGGCAAGCAAGGGCCAUUCUGGGUCCUGGGCCUUUGUUUCCUCUCUCUUCUUUCACUGUAAGCCCAGAACCCACAGAGCCACUGAAGAGCACCCAAAAGGCUGUGGUGGAAGAGGAAGCAAUAUUUUUGCUUCCAGUAUCCGAGGCAGGAUGCAGGGCCUGGAUGGCAGCUGAGGAGCUCGACACAGAGGAGCAAAAACUCAGGUUUUGCUAAAAUGCACCCCAGGACAGCCUUUCCUUCUAGAAAGUUCUCCUCAGAGGUCAAGGCACUGAGCUGCUGGGAUGCUUAGGUUUGCCCAGAGAAGAGAGGGACGGAAGGCAGGAGAAGGUGGCAGGCCCUCAGCCCAGCCUAGACAGCUUCCAGGGAGGGAGGACAGGGCGCUCGGGUGCAGGCCUGGCUCUCUUACAGAACCCCGCCUUCACCGCUAGGCAUUCCCAAGGCCCCCAGCCGCCUCUGCCACAGGUUCUGCAGCUGGAGCUGAGCUCAACAGCACUCAGGGCUGGGUUCCAGUCCACAUGUCACCCUGCAUUCCGGGCCUGCUGUGGCCACCACUGGCUGUGGGCCCUUAGUGGAUCUCUGAGCAGCUCUGGGGUUUCAGGCUUCUCCCCCAUCUGCUGAAUGCAUCUUGUUCCCAUGUGGCCCUGGGUGCAGCCUCACAGGAGAAUCUCCAAUGACCAGAAAGAGGUCUAAUUUUUUUUUCUCCUUUUUUGGCUGCCUUGUGGCAUAUGGAGCUCCCAGGCCAGGGAUCAGAUCACAACCUAAGACACAGCUGCAGCAACGAUGGAUCCUUAACCCACUGAGCCUGUCUGGGGGAUCGAACCUGUGGUCCUGGUGCUCCCAAGACAUAGCCUAUCCCCUUGCACCACAGCGGGAACUCUGAAGUCCAAUUUUUCUGUCUUCUAGGAAGGAGGAUUUUCUUGGCUGUAUGUAAAAGACUCUGAAUAACAGCAGCUUGAACAGCACCAAAGUUUCUCUCCCUUUGAUGCCAAAGCCUGGAUGAAGGCACUUCCGGGCAGUGUGAUAGUGCCUGGUCCUCCCUAAACCAGGCUCUCCAGGCAGUCUGAGGGUGUGCUUUUGAGCCUAAGGUCCAAGGUGAGCUUGGGCUGUCCUGUCUGUGCCCCUGGAGGAGGACGGAGGAUGCAGGAAGGAGAGGCAGGACCCCUUCUUUUAAGGGGACUUGAACCAGAUGCUACCCACGUCCCUUCCUCACCCUCCACCAGCCGGCAGUCACCUGGCCACAGGAGAGCAGGGAAACAUGGCCUCAAACCCAGCUAAAUAUCAGCAGACUUACUGCACAAGAAGGAAGGAAUGAUUAUUGAGGGAAUGGCAGUCAUCCUUUGACAUGGUUUUGUUUUGUUGGUUUUUUUUUGGUCAAACUUUUCUGUAUUGAUUUUUUUUUAAAUUCCAAACUACUUGCUUAUAAACACAUCAAGCUGUAGGAGGGAAGGAAGGAAGAAAGAACGGGAGGGAGAGAGAGAAAAAGAAAAAAAGAACAAACAAAUGGACUCAAGGCCCCUUAGGGAACUAAGAUUAACAGUUUGGUGUGUAUCCUUUCCUGUUUCUUGAGAGACAUGAAAAAUACACAAACCCUUCUGUCUCCCCACCCACUUUUAAUUUUUUCUAAAUGAGAUCUGCACUUUAGAGAGAAAAUAUUUUUCUGCAACGUGCUUAUUUCCAAAUCUCAAUGACUCUGUUGAUCGCUAACUAUAUAUGGCUCCAACUUGUUCUUGACAAUAACUACAUAGCUUAUAGUAUGGAUUUCAUAGUUGAAUGCACUGUAAUUUCUCCUACCAUUCCCCACUAGAAUAUAUAGGAUAGUUCUUUUUAUUGUGCCUGUAGGUAACGUGGCAAGAAACAACCUCGUGCACAUAUCCUUAAGUCUGCCUUUCUGGAGGAUGCUUGAUCACUGUUGGGAGGAAGAAGAGAAAAGCGAAGACCCGUGUUGAUAAGACAGCACCGUUUCUAGGAAUCCACGUGUUUCAUUCUGUCUGCUCUUGGGGAGGAAAUAAUGGGGGGCAUAUUCCCUCUUGUCUGAGAAGGAGAUGAAGCCCCUGUGUCCUGGGAAGGCUGGAAUGAAGCUUUGUAGGGUGAGGAGAACAGCCUGGGCGCCCCCACGGCAGCACAGGAACCCUCCCAGAUCUGGGCAGACCGCGCGCAGGGCCACAGCCCGGAGGCACAGAACCAGAGGCACAGCACCUGUGCAGAGCCUGACCCAGAACGUGCUGGAGAAAGAGGACAGAACAAAUGCAGACAAGCUGUGCUCACAGGCAGGCCCCAGGCCAGGAAUGACUGUGCCCAGAAACCCCAGGUUUUGGGAAUAGGACAUCAGAGGGUGACUGCAGCCCAAGCAGGAAGGGACCGCAUGGCUCCCUUAGCUGGGACUUGGGGCCUUAGCUGCAUGCUUGUACCAUGGCUUUCCCGGGGGGAAGCUGCACCACACUAGAUGGAGACGCUGCUGGUUGUACCUGUGAGGGUCUGUGCCUGUGGAGGCCCCAUGUGACCUGAGGCUGUGGAUGGGGAGCCCUCCUCCCACAAAACUGCCUGGGCUGCUAUUUCUGCAGCACUAGCUCUGCUCCAGGGACCGAAAUCCACAGGCCGGGCCUAGCAACAGUCACCAAGCUAAACAAACAGCAGAGGAGGCCUGGAUCACAGCUGGCUCCCUUUUUGGGGGUGGCCCGCGGGAGGCAUGUCAGCCUCCACAGUGUGGUCUCCUGGGGGUGGGGGGAGGCAGGGAGCCCACCCAAGACUCCUGGGGCUGCUAUGCACACACAGAUGAGCGCAGCCGUUUGUUAUGUGUAAUUAGAUUGAGCUAAUUUCCUCGGGCGGCCCAGAGCCGGAGAUAGCAGGGUUUUCAAAAAAAACCACGUUAUCUCAUGUCGUGUCAGUGUCAUCAUGGCAAAGCUGGACUGAAAAGAAAGAACAUUUCUGAGA